rnacentral:snRNA from 1 species
AUACUUACCUGGCAGAGGAGAUACCAUGAUCAUGAAGGUGGUUUUCCCAGGGCGAGGCUUAUCCAUUGCACUCCGGAUGUGCUGACCCCUGCGAUUUCCCCAAAUGUGGGAAUAAAAAAAAAUUAAAAAAAAAGAAAGAGCCUCUCUCUA